UUAUAAUGGUAUAUGGGCUACUCAUA
rnacentral:piRNA from 1 species